rnacentral:lncRNA from 1 species
CAAUGACAUGCCUCUCGUAAUCCUCUUAGAUGGAGAUGGAGUUCCAUCAUCCAUUUUGUUUUUGAAAAACUGAUGAUUGAUGAGAGAGUUUAGAGAAAAAAAUUGCCAAAAAAUAACAAGCAUAAUACAUAUACAAAGGAAAAAAAAAGAAAAAAAAAAAAAGGUUGAGACACGAUUUAGGCGGCUACCUGCAAAAGUGAAAACACGAUUAGGAGGGAG